CAAUGGUAAGCCUAAGUAACGGCGAGUGAAGCGGCAAAAGCUCAAAUUUGAAAUCUAGCACUUUCAGUGUUCGAGUUGUAAUUUGAAGAAGGUAACUUUGGAAUUGGCUCUUGUCUAUGUUCCUUGGAACAGGACGUCACAGAGGGUGAGAAUCCCGUGCGAUGAGAUGUCCAAUUCUAUGUAAAGUGCUUUCGAAGAGUCGAGUUGUUUGGGAAUGCAGCUCUAAGUGGGUGGUAAAUUCCAUCUAAAGCUAAAUAUUGGCGAGAGACCGAUAGCGAACAAGUACAGUGAUGGAAAGAUGAAAAGAACUUUGAAAAGAGAGUGAAAAAGUACGUGAAAUUGUUGAAAGGGAAGGGCUUGAGAUCAGACUUGGUAUUUUGUGUUCCUUAUUCUUUUUGGAUUUGGUUCCUCACAGCUUACCGGGCCAGCAUCGGUUUGGAUGGUAGGAUAAUGACAUUGGAAUGUAGCUUUGCUUCGGUGAAGUGUUAUAGACUUUGUUGAUACUGCCUAUCUAGACCGAGGACUGCGUCUUUGACUAGGAUGCUGGCGUAAUGAUCUUAAGCCGCCCGUCUUGAACACGGACCC
rnacentral:rRNA from 1 species